rnacentral:rRNA from 1 species
CGGAGUAAUGCGUGACCAACCUGCCCCAUGCUCCAGAAUAGCUCUUGGAAACUGGUGGUAAUGCUGGAUGCUCCAACUUGACGCAUGUCUUGUUGGGAAAGUGUUUAGUGGCAUGGGAUGGGGUCGCGUCCUAUCAGCUUGUAGGCGGGGUAAUGGCCCACCUAGGCUUCGACGGGUAGCCGGCCUGAGAGGGCGGACGGCCACAUUGGGACUGAGAUACGGCCCAGACUCCUACGGGAGGCAGCAGCC